rnacentral:rRNA from 1 species
GCCCAGAUGGGAUUAGCUUGUUGGUGAGGUAACGGCUCACCAAGGCGACGAUCCCUAGCUGGUCUGAGAGGAUGACCAGCCACACUGGAACUGAGACACGGUCCAGACUCCUACGGGAGGCAGCAGUGGGGAAUAUUGCACAAUGGGCGCAAGCCUGAUGCAGCCAUGCCGCGUGUAUGAAGAAGGCCUUCGGGUUGUAAAGUACUUUCAGCGGGGAGGAAGGUGUUGUGGUUAAUAACCGCAGCAAUUGACGUUACCCGCAGAAGAAGCACCGGCUAACUCCGUGCCAGCAGCCGCGGUAAUACGGAGGGUGCAAGCGUUAAUCGGAAUUACUGGGCGUAAAGCGCACGCAGGCGGUCUGUCAAGUCGGAUGUGAAAUCCCCGGGCUCAACCUGGGAACUGCAUUCGAAACUGGCAGGCUUGAGUCUUGUAGAGGGGGGUAGAAUUCCAGGUGUAGCGGUGAAAUGCGUAGAGAUCUGGAGGAAUACCGGUGGCGAAGGCGGCCCCCUGGACAAAGACUGACGCUCAGGUGCGAAAGCGUGGGGAGCAAACAGGAUUAGAUACCUUGGUAGUCCACGCCGUAAACGAUGUCUACUUGGAGGUUGUGCCCUUGAGGCGUGGCUUCCGGAGCUAACGCGUUAAGUAGACCGCCUGGGGAGUACGGCCGCAAGGUUAAAACUCAAAUGAAUUGACGGGGGCCCGCACAAGCGGUGGAGCAUGUGGUUUAAUUCGAUGCAACGCGAAGAACCUUACCUGGUCUUGACAUCCACAGAAGAAUCCAGAGAUGGAUUUGUGCCUUCGGGAACUGUGAGACAGGUGCUGCAUGGCUGUCGUCAGCUCGUGUUGUGAAAUGUUGGGUUAAGUCCCGCAACGAGCGCAACCCUUAUCCUUUGUUGCCAGCGGUUAGGCCGGGAACUCAAAGGAGACUGCCAGUGAUAAACUGGAGGAAGGUGGGGAUGACGUCAAGUCAUCAUGGCCCUUACGACCAGGGCUACACACGUGCUACAAUGGCGCAUACAAAGAGAAGCGACCUCGCGAGAGCAAGCGGACCUCAUAAAGUGCGUCGUAGUCCGGAUUGGAGUCUGCAACUCGACUCCAUGAAGUCGGAAUCGCUAGUAAUCGUGGAUCAGAAUGCCACGGUGAAUACGUUCCCGGGCCUUGUACACACCGCCCGUCACACCAUGGGAGUGGGUUGCAAAAGAAGUAGGUAGCUUAACCUUCGGGAGGGCGCUUACCACUUUGUGAUUCAUGACUGGGGUGAAGUCGUAACAAGGUAACCGUAGGGGAACCUGCGGUUGGA